rnacentral:rRNA from 1 species
AUUGAACGCUGGCGGCAGGCCUAACACAUGCAAGUCGAACGAGCGGCGGACGGGUGAGUAAUGUCUGGGGAACUGCCUGAUGGAGGGGGAUAACUACUGGAAACGGUAGCUAAUACCGCAUACCAUCAGAUGAGCCCAUAUGGGAUUAGCUAGUAGGUGGGGUAACGGCUCACCUAGGCGACGAUCCCUAGCUGGUCUGAGAGGAUGACCAGCCACCCUGGGACUGAGACACGGCCCAGACUCCUACGGGAGGCAGCAGUGGGGAAUAUUGGACAAUGGGCGAAAGCCUGAUCCAGCCAUGCCGCGUGUGUGAAGAAGGCCUUCGGGUUGUAAAGUACUUUCAGUUGGGAGGCGUUACCCGCAGAAUAAGCACCGGCUAACUUCGUGCCAGCAGCCGCGGUAAUUC